GCCUCUGUAGCCCAGUUGGUUAGAGCGCUGCUCCGGAAUCGCAGGGCCGUAGGUUCGAUUCCUACCAGAGGAC
rnacentral:tRNA from 1 species